GCUGAUAUAGCUCAGUAGGCAGAGCACAUCCUUGGUAAGGAUGAGGUCACCAGUUCGAUCCUGGUUAUCAGCUCCA
rnacentral:tRNA from 3 species